UACAGAGGUCUCAAGCGUUGUUCGGAAUCACUGGCGUAAAGGGUGCGUAGGCUGCACGGUAAGUCAGGUGUGAAAGCCCGGAGCUCAACUCCGGAAUUGCACCCGAUACUGCCGUGCUUGAGGACUGGAGAGGAGUCUGGAAUUCACAGUGGAGCAGUGAAAUGCGUAGAUAUUGUGAGGAACACUAGUGGCGAAGGCGAGACUCUGGACAGUUCCUGACGCUGAGGCACGAAGGCCAGGGGAGCAAACGGG
rnacentral:rRNA from 1 species